AGAUGUGAGGGUGAUAUGGCUGCGAGAUCUGUCACCCCAUUGAUCGCCAGGGUUGAUUCGGCUGAUCAGGCUGGCUAGGCGGGUGUCCCCUUCCUCCCUCACAGCUCAUGUGCGACCCUCCCAAAGCUGCGCGCUCGGUCCAAGAGGACGACCUUCCCUGAAUAGAGGAGGACCAGUCUUUGGUCAAGGGUAUCCGAGUAGCUGUGCUCCCCUGCUAGAACCUCCAAACAAGCUCUCAAGAAGUCUGCAUACUUUCUGCUGUUGAUAAGACUGUCACUGAAUACUGAGCACCCUGGGUAGAGAAGUGUUCAGUUCCUGGAUGG
rnacentral:snRNA from 1 species